AAAUAGCAUUUUAUCAUUCGCGCCCCACAAAUCCUCGGUUUCAUUCGUGAUACAGAUUUCCUCAAUCUCCCUCUUCCCCUCUCCCUCACAGACACACGCAGUUUCUGCCCCUCAUCCAUCUGGAACCUUCGAUUUUGAUUCCACCUCCAGAACCCUUGGAAGGGUUUUGCCUCUGCCGUUAUUGCUGCUGCUGUUCAUAGACCUCUUGUGACUUUUCCGUGUUGGAUCUUUCUUAUUUUCGCGGCGGAGAUGCUUAGUUUUGCGACUUCGGCGUCGGCUUCAAUUUGGAGUUUUCGGUGAAGAAGAUUCAUAAAUGUUUCUUCAGUCUUCUUCUUCCUCGAGUUUUGAUUUCCCGUGUCGCUCUUAUGUGUCUCGCUAUAUGUUUUGUCCGUUCUCCGCGAACAAGCACGACUCGGUUGCGUUCCGCGAUGGAUUCUCGAGGAGGCGGAUUUUGCGUCGGAGAUUCGGAAUUCCUAUGUCGAAUACGAAGGUUAGGUUAAUUUCUUGUGGAAUUCGAGGGGAUUCAAGUAACAUAGGAUUGGCAAAUUCGACGAGAAGGUUAACAAAAAGCCUUGUUAUCGCUCGGUUUUCGAAUGAAUUCGAGGGUGAAGAAUCGUCGCAGGAAUCUACGAUUCAGGAUUGUAGAAGCGAUUUCACUGACUUUAGAGAAGAUCCAAUAGUUGAUAAGCUCAGGACUCAGUUGGGUGUAAUCCAUCCGAUUCCGUCUCCACCCAUUAAUCGUAACGCAGUAGGCCUGUUUGUGCUCUUCUUCUUUGUUGGGGUUGUUUUCGAUAAGCUAUGGACGUGGAGGAAGAGGCGGAGACAAAUGAGCAGCGAGAGUGGGCACCGAGGAGCAGGACCAUGGCCACAGGUUCCGACCAGCUUCUCAUUGUUCCUCGAGAAGGAUUUGCAGAGGAAAGAAUCGGUGGAAUGGGUAAACAUGGUGUUGGGGAAGCUCUGGAAAGUAUACAGAGCUGGGCUUGAGAAUUGGAUCAUUGGAUUAUUGCAGCCGGUUAUUGAUGACUUGAAGAAACCAGAUUAUGUCCAGAGAGUUGAAAUCAAGCAGUUCUCUCUUGGGGACGAGCCUUUGUCUGUUAGAAAUGUAGAGAGAAGGACAUCACGCCGUGUCAAUGACUUGCAGUACCAAAUUGGUCUUCGGUAUACUGGUGGGGCCCGUAUGUUAUUAGUGCUCUCUUUGAAAUUUGGUAUCGUCCCAGUAGUUGUGCCAGUUGGUAUUCGUGAUUUUGACAUCGACGGUGAGCUUUGGGUUAAACUGAGAUUGAUACCAACGGAACCUUGGGUUGGAGCUGUAUCAAUGGCUUUUGUAUCACUUCCGAAGGUCAAGUUUGAGCUGGCGCCCUUCCGAUUGUUUAAUCUAAUGGCCAUUCCUGUUCUAUCAAUGUUCUUGACCAAACUUCUGACAGAGGAUUUGCCUCGAUUAUUUGUCCGCCCAAAGAAGAUUGUCUUGGAUUUCCAGAAAGGAAAAGCUGUUGGACCUGUUGCAGAAGACCUCAAACCAGGAGAAAUGCAAGAAGGAAACACGGAUUUUGUCGGAGAACUAUCUGUUACCCUUGUUGAUGCACAGAAACUUCCAUAUAUGUUCUAUGGUAAAACAGAUCCAUAUGUUAUUCUAAGAUUAGGGGAUCAAGUUAUUCGCAGUAAAAAGAACAGCCAAACUACCGUCAUUGGGGCCCCUGGUCAGCCUAUCUGGAAUCAGGACUUCCAUUUCCUCGUUUCAAAUCCUAGAGAACAGGUCUUACAACUUGAGGUUAACGACUGUCUUGGGUUUGCUGAUUUGACUAUUGGUACUGGAGAGGUUGAUCUUGGAUCACUAAAAGAUACUGUUCCAACAGAUAGAAUCGUGGUCUUGAGAGGCGGUUGGAGUUUGUUUGGGAAGGGUUCUGCUGGGGAGAUUCUUCUUCGGCUUACAUACAAAGCAUAUGUGGAGGAUGAAGAGGAUGACAAGACCGAUGUGAAAAAGAUUAAUGCCGAUGUUUCUGAUGAUGAAUUCUCAGAUUCUGAAGAAGCUGGCUCAUUUGUGGAGAAUGAAAAGAUUUCUUCUGAUGAAUCAGGCCAAGAGUCAUUUAUGGAUGUGCUGUCUGCAUUGAUAGUGAGCGAGGAGUUUCAGGGUAUAGUUUCAUCAGAAACAACAAACAGUAAACUUUCUAACGGCGACACGAGUACUGUGCCUGUAACUUCCGGGUCUAGGGUGGACUCAAAAAAUCUACCCGUAGAUCCAGGUAAUGCCUCUGGAAGCAAUACGGGCGUAUCAGAUUCAGAAUCUGUAGCGGCAAAUUCUGAUAAAGGUUCUGAUGAUGAUGGAGGAUUAGCUUUAUUGUGGUUCGGUGUGAUAACUAGCAUACUGGUGCUCGUAGCUAUCAACAUGAGCGGCUCAAGUUUCUUCAACCCGUAGUACGAAGUUGUAUAGCUACUGCAGAUUUCUGUCGCCCGACCGUUGUUUUCAUGAGAUUAGAUUCAGUGGAAUGGAAGUGGCUGCUCUCUGUUCUGCUUCUGCAUAUAGUUAAGGACCAACCCUGCAUCUUCAUCUUUUCCGGGUUGGUCUCAGAUACGGCUUAUAAAGAGGUUUCAGUCCAUGUUGCUGUUGUAUGCGUAGCCAUUAGAAGUUGUACACUUCGCAUCGGCAGCAGGAAAUUUUGGAUCUAUUUUAUCCAAUCCCCCCAACGUGUGGUUGUUUAUAGUUACAUUAGAUGGGAAAAAAAUAUUACUGUAUUCUUUUCUUACAUAUUUUUUUUUUGGGAAAAAAAUAUUACUGUAUUCGUUUCUUACAUAUAUUUUUUUUGGCAAUAAAAGGUUUACGGAAAAGGCA